GAUGAACGCUAGCGGCAGGCCUAAUACAUGCAAGUCGGACGGGAUUCAGGAGCUUGCUUCUGAUGAGAGUGGCGCACGGGUGCGUAACACGUAUGUAACCUACCUUUAUCAGGGGGUAGCCUCUCGAAAGAGAGAUUAAGCCCGCAUAAAAUCACAGCACAGCAUUGUGUAAUGAUCAAAUAUUUAUAGGAUAAAGAUGGGCAUGCGGAACAUUAGCUAGAUGGCGGGGUAACGGCCCACCAUGGCGACGAUGUUUAGGGGAUCUGAGAGGAUGGCCCCCCACACUGGUACUGAGACACGGACCAGACUCCUACGGGAGGCAGCAGUAAGGAAUAUUGGUCAAUGGGCGGAAGCCUGAACCAGCCAUGCCGCGUGCAGGAAGACGGCCCUACGGGUUGUAAACUGCUUUUAUACGGGAAUAAACCCAGAUACGUGUAUCUGGCUGAAUGUACUGUAAGAAUAAGGAUCGGCUAACUCCGUG
rnacentral:rRNA from 1 species